AGUGAACGCUGGCGGUAGGCCUAACACAUGCAAGUCGAACGGCAGCACAGUAAGAGCUUGCUCUUACGGGUGGCGAGUGGCGGACGGGUGAGGAAUACAUCGGAAUCUACUUUUUCGUGGGGGAUAACGUAGGGAAACUUACGCUAAUACCGCAUACGACCUACGGGUGAAAGCAGGGGAUCUUCGGACCUUGCGCGAUUGAAUGAGCCGAUGUCGGAUUAGCUAGUUGGCGGGGUAAAGGCCCACCAAGGCGACGAUCCGUAGCUGGUCUGAGAGGAUGAUCAGCCACACUGGAACUGAGACACGGUCCAGACUCCUACGGGAGGCAGCAGUGGGGAAUAUUGAACAAUGGGCGCAAGCCUGAUCCAGCCAUACCGCGUGGGUGAAGAAGGCCUUCGGGUUGUAAAGCCCUUUUGUUGGGAAAGAAGAGCAGCAGGUUAAUACCCCGCUGUUCUGACGGUACCCAAAGAAUAAGCACCGGCUAACUUCGUG
rnacentral:rRNA from 1 species